UUAAGAUACUAAGAGCAUACGGUGGAUGCCUUGGCGAUAUCUGCCGACGAAGGACGUGACAAGCUGCGAAAAGCUGCGGAGAGAUGCAAAUAAUCGGCGACCCGCAGACAUCCGAAUGGAGAAAUCCGGCUGUGAUGAUGCACAGCCAUCCAUGCCCAAGAGCAUGAGAAGGGAACCGGGCGAACUGAAACAUCUAAGUAACCCGAGGAAAAGAAAUCAAACGAGAUACCCCAAGUAGCGGCGAGCGAACAGGGAAGAAGCCCAAACCGGUGAAGGAAACUUUACCGGGGUUGAGGACCAUCAGACCCGCGAAGAACUUUAGCCGAAACUGUUGGGAAACAGUGCCAAAGACAGUGAAAGCCUGGUAGGCGAAAAAGAGAAACGCGGAGAUGGCACCAGAGUACCGCGGGACACGAGAAAUCCCGUGGGAAGCAGGGGGGACCACCCUCCAAGGCAAAACACAGAUAUCGACCGAUAGCGCAUAGUACCAUGAGGGAAAGGUGAAAAGCACCCCGGGAGGGGAAUGAAAGAGAACCUGAAACCGUAUGUUUACAAGCAGUCGGAGACCGCUUAAUAAUAAGGUCGACGGCGUGCCUAUUGAAGAAUGAACCGGCGAGUUACGAAGCCUGGCAAGGUUAAGCAGGAAAUGCGGAGCCGAAGCGAAAGCGAGUCUUAAGAGGGCGCAAGUCAGGAAGCGUAGACCCGAAACCACAGUGAUCUACCCAUGUCCAGGUUGAAACACAGGUAAAAAUGUGUGGAGGACCGAACCUAUAUCCGUUGAAAAGGGUUAGGAUGAGGUGUGGGUAGGGGUGAAAUUCCAAUCGAACGUGGAGAUAGCUGGUUCUCCCCGAAAUAGCUUUAGGGCUAGCCUCAGGGAAAAGAUUGCAGGCGGUAGAGCACUGAUCAGGAGAGGGACCUACCCGGUUACCAAACCCAGUCAAACUCCGAAUGGCUGCAAUCAUACCUGGGAGUCAGACUGCGACUAAUAAGGGCCGUAGUCAAAAGGGAAACAGCCCAGACCAUCAGCUAAGGUCCCCAAUGCCGUGCUAAGUGGCGAAGGAUGUGGCAUUUCAUAAACAACCAGGAUGUUGGCUCAGAAGCAGCCACCAUUUAAAGAGUGCGUAAUAGCUCACUGGUCGAGAGACGCUGCGCCGAAAAUGUCCGGGGCUCAAGCACGGAACCGAAGCUAUGGCAUGAUAGCAAUAUCAUGGGUAGGGGAGCGUUCUUAUAAGGAAGAAGCAUGACCGGAAGGACAUGUGGACGAAUAAGAAGUGAGAAUGCCGGUAUGAGUAUCGAAAAGAAAGGUGAGAAUCCUUUCCACCGAAAGCCCGAGGGUUCCUGAGCAACGAUCGUCGACUCAGGGUAAGUCGGGACCUAAGCCGAGGCGAGAAGCGUAGGCGAUGGACAACAGGUUGAAAUUCCUGUACCGGAUCAAGUCGAUCGAGCGAAGGAGCGACGCAGGAGGGCACAUGAUCGCGCGGCUGGAAGAGCGCGUCCAAGUGCGUAUGUUGCUGCAGAGGAAAACCCCUGCGGCUGAAAGCAGAGACAUGAUGGGGAGUUAAAGGAAACUUUGACGAACUCAUGAAUCCCACACUGCCAAGAAAAACUUCUAGCGAGACAAGAUCCGCCCGUACCGUAAACCGACACAGGUAGGCGGGGAGAGAAUCCUAAGGUGCGCGGGAAAACCCUCGUUAAGGAACUCGGCAAAUUGCAUCCGUAACCUAGGGAGAAGGAUGGCCCCCGGUCAGUGAAGAGCAGAAACGCUCAGAGCUAAAAGGGGCGGCAGAAAAGAGGCCCAAGCAACUGUUUACCAAAAACACAGGUGCCUGCGAAAGCGAAAGCUGAAGUAUAGGUGCUGACGCCUGCCCGGUGCCGGAAGGUUAAGGAGAGAAGUUAGCGAAAGCGAAGCAUCGAACUGAAGCCCCGGUGAACGGCGGCCGUAACUAUAACGGUCCUAAGGUAGCGAAAUUCCUUGUCGGGUAA
rnacentral:rRNA from 1 species